rnacentral:rRNA from 1 species
CAGCAGCCGCGGUAAUACGUAGGGUGCAAGCGUUAAUCGGAAUUACUGGGCGUAAAGCGUGCGCAGGCGGCUAUGCAAGACAGAUGUGAAAUCCCCGGGCUCAACCUGGGAACUGCAUUUGUGACUGCAUGGCUAGAGUACGGUAGAGGGGGAUGGAAUUCCGCGUGUAGCAGUGAAAUGCGUAGAUAUGCGGAGGAACACCGAUGGCGAAGGCAAUCCCCUGGACCUGUACUGACGCUCAUGCACGAAAGCGUGGGGAGCAAACAGGAUUAGAUACCCCCGUAGUCCCUGUCUCUUAUAC